rnacentral:rRNA from 1 species
UUGGUCAAGCUAAAAAGGGCGCAGGGCGAAUGCCUUGGCACUGGGAGCCGACGAAGGACGCGAUAAGCUGCGAAAAGCCACGGGGAGCCGCAAAUAGGCAUUGAACCGUGGGUGUCCGAAUGGGGAAACCCACAUGAGGGAAUGCUCAUGUAUCGUAUACUGAAUCCAUAGGUAUAUGAGGGGAACCGCCUGAACUGAAACAUCUAAGUAGGGCGAGGAAGAGAAAUCAACCGAGAUUCCGCGAGUAGUGGCGAGCGAAAGCGGAAGAGGCCAAACCAGGGAUAGCAAUAUCCCUGGGGUUACGGACUGCAUUUAGCAUUGUCGAAGGUUAGAAGAAGUGUAUGGGAAGGCACACCGAAGAGAGUGAAAGUCUCGUAUUCGAAAACUGAAGACAGCGAGCAGGAUCCAGAGUACCGCGGGACACGAGAAAUCCCGUGGGAAGUCGGGGGGACCACCCUCCAAGCCUAAAUACUACCCAGUGACCGAUAGCGUAUAGUACUGUGAAGGAAAGGUGAAAAGAACCCCGGGAGGGGAGUGAAAUAGCACCUGAAACCCUGUGCCUACAAGCACCUAGAGCACAUCAACGUGUGAUAGGGUACUUUUUGUAGAACGGUCCGGCGAGCGUAUGUAUGUAGCAAGGUUAAGGACUUCAGGUCCGAAGCCGCAGGGAAACCGAGUCUGAAUAGGGCGAAUAAGUUUCAUGCAUAGGGCCCGAAACCGGGUGACCUAUCCAUGUCCAGGUUGAAGUUGGGGUAAGACCCAAUGGAGGACCGAACCGACCUCCGUUGAAAAGGCGGCGGAUGAGGUGUGGAUAGCGGAGAAAUUCCAAUCGAACCCGGAGAUAGCUGGUUCUCCCCGAAAUAGCUUUAGGGCUAGCCUUGUGACAGAUUACUGGAGGUAAAGCACUGAAUGGACUAGGGGCCGAGAGGCUACCGAAUCCUAUCAAACUCUGAAUGCCAGAUAAUCGAUUCACAGGAGUCAGACAGUGUGAGAUAAGUUUCAUUGUCGAGAGGGAAAAAGCCCAGACCCACAGCUAAGGUCCCAAAGUAAGUUUAAGUGGAAAAGGAUGUGGGGUUGCGAAAACAACCAGGAUGUUGGCUUAGAAGCAGCCAUACAUUAAAAGAGUGCGUAAUAGCUCACUGGUCGAGUGACCCUGCGCCGAAAAUGUAACGGGGCUAAAAUUUACACCGAAGCUUGGGAUGUACGCAAGUACAUGGUAGGGGAGCGUCGUAUGAGGGGUGAAGUCGUAGCGAAAGCGGCGGUGGACUUCAUACGAGAGAGAAUGCCGGAAUGAGUAGCGAGAAUUAUGUGAGAAUCAUAAUGGCCGAAAGCCUAAGGAUUUUGGAGGAAGGUUCGUCCGCUCCAAGUUAGUCGGGAGCUAAGGCGAGGCCGAAAGGCGUAGUCGAUGCACACACGGUAGACAUUCCGUGACCACCGAAAGAUUUAAGACAGGGGACACUUAGAAAGCGCGUGACCCGGGCGUUGGUUGACCCGGGCGUAAGGGACCGAAGAUUAGUAGGGAAGCACGACGUGGACUGAGGCGAGAAAAGCCUGUUGUAUAUCUCAGGUGCCCGUACCGCAAACCGACACAGGUAGGUAGGAAGAGAAUUCUAAGGCCAACGGGAGAAGGGUUGUUAAGGAACUCGGCAAGUUGACCCCGUAACUUAGGGAAAAGGGGUGCUCGUGUAACAGCGAGCCGCAGAGAAUAGGUCCAGGCGACUGUUUAGCAAAAACACAGGUCUGUGCUAAAUCGAAAGAUGACGUAUACGGGCUGACACCUGCCCGGUGCUGGAAGGUUAAGAGGAGGAGUGAGAGCUCCGAAUUGAAGCCCCAGUAAACGGCGGCCGUAACUAUAACGGUCCUAAGGUAGCGAAAUUCCUUGUCGGGUAAGUUCCGACCUGCACGAAUGGUGUAAUGAUCUGGACACUGUCUCAACCGUGAGCUCAGUGAAAUUGUAGUAUCGGUGAAGAUGCCGAUUACCCGCGAUGGGACGAAAAGACCCCGUGAACCUUUACUAUAGCUUAACAUUGAAUUUGGGUAAUUGAUGUGUAGGAUAGGCCGGAGACUUUGAAGCAGGUACGCCAGUAUUUGUGGAGUCGCUGUUGAAAUACGGCCCUUUGAUUAUUUGAGUUCUAACUCGUAGAUACGAGGACACUGUUUGGUGGGUAGUUUGACUGGGGUGGUCGCCUCCAAAAGUGUAACGGAGGCUUCUAAAGGUGCCCUCAGGACGAUUGGU